rnacentral:snRNA from 1 species
AGCUUUGCGCAGUGGCAGUAUCGUAGCCAAUGAGGUUUAUCCGAGGCGCGAUUAUUGCUAAUUAAAUACAGUUGCACAACUAACUUG